rnacentral:rRNA from 1 species
UGGGGAAUAUUGCACAAUGGGCGCAAGCCUGAUGCAGCCAUGCCGCGUGUGUGAAGAAGGCCUUCGGGUUGUAAAGCACUUUCAGCGGGGAGGAAGGCGUUAAGGUUAAUAACCUUGGCGAUUGACGUUACCCGCAGAAGAAGCACCGGCUAACUCCGUGCCAGCAGCCGCGGUAAUACGGAGGGUGCAAGCGUUAAUCGGAAUUACUGGGCGUAAAGCGCACGCAGGCGGUUGAUUGAGUCAGAUGUGAAAUCCCCGGGCUUAACCCGGGAAUUGCAUCUGAUACUGGUCAGCUAGAGUCUUGUAGAGGGGGGUAGAAUUCCAUGUGUAGCGGUGAAAUGCGUAGAGAUCUGGAGGAAUACCGGUGGCGAAGGCGGCCCCCUGGACAAAGACUGACGCUCAGGUGCGAAAGCGUGGGGAGCAAACAGG